CCAGCAUACGUUUCAUCUUCUAUAAAAUCUGACUCUAGGGUGCUCCAGAGAUCUUCGAGAUCUGUUUCCUGUUCCAACAUCGUCCAAUCAUGCUGCCGUGACGGAUCCACUUCCGAUGGUGCUCCAGAGAUCUUCGAGAUCUGUUUCCCGUUCCAACCUCGUCCAAUCACGCUGCCGUGACGGAUCCACUUCCGAUGGCCUCAUAUGUGGGUGCUCAGAUCUAGCAUGCUUCGUUAAUUCUGAGUAAGUCCCAACGAACAUACAAGUCUCCAGGGAACAACUCCUUGGUUUGGAAUCCAUGU
rnacentral:lncRNA from 1 species